CGGGCAUUUAUACAAAAUGGCAAACAGCCUAUGGCAUGCAUGUCCCUGAAUUAAGCUCGCAGCUGUCAUAACAUAUCUUACAAGAAAAAACAUCUUUUAUGAGAAUGAGAGGAUUAAAUCUGGACAGUCAUAUAUGGAGGGUUAAGGGUUUAAGGUUUAAUGUAAAAAAGUCACUUAAGGGACCAAGGUUUAAUGUAAAAAAGUCACUUAAGGGACCAACCUCUCUCAUACACAAACUAGAUGGAAUAUAUUAAAUAUGAGGAUCUGAAUUACAUACUAUGAUGGAUGAAAAUCCAUGUAAAGGUGCAGGUUUAAGAUUCUCUUGACAAAUGCAAACAACCAUAAAAUGCAGUCUACUCACUACUGCACAAGAGAAACCAGUUUGAAAGAAUCAUAGAAACUAAC
rnacentral:lncRNA from 1 species